AUUGAACGCUGGCGGCAUGCCUAACACAUGCAAGUCGAGCGGAUGAACGGAGCUUUCUCCUGGAUUCAGCUGCGGACGGGUGAGUAAUGCCUAGGAAUCUGCCUUGUAUUGGGGGCUAACGUCCGGUCACGGGCGCUAAUACCGCAUACGUCCUGAGUGUGAACGUGGUGGUUCUUCGGACCUCACGCUAUUAGCUGAGCCUAGGUCGGAUUAGCUAGUUGGUUGGGUAAAGGCCUACCAAGGCGACGAUCCGUAACUGAUCUGAGAGGAUGAUCAGUCACACUGGAACUGAGACACGGUCCAGACUCCUACGGGAGGCAGCAGUGGGGAAUAUUGGGCAAUGGGCGAAAGCCUGAUCCAGCCAUGCCGCGUGUGUGAAGAAGGUCUUCGGAUUGUAAAGCACUUUAAGUUGGGAGGAACGGCAGUAAGUUAAUACCUUGCUGUUUUGACGUUACCAACAGAAUAAGCACCGGCUAACUUCGUG
rnacentral:rRNA from 1 species